AGAGUUUGNNNNNGCUCAGGAUGAACGCUGGCGGCGUGCCUAAUACAUGCAAGUCGAACGCACAGCGAAAGGUGCUUGCACCUUUCAAGUGAGUGGCGAACGGGUGAGUAACACGUGGACAACCUGCCUCAAGGCUGGGGAUAACAUUUGGAAACAGAUGCUAAUACCGAAUAAAACUCAGUGUCGCAUGACACAAAGUUAAAAGGCGCUUUGGCGUCACCUAGAGAUGGAUCCGCGGUGCAUUAGUUAGUUGGUGGGGUAAAGGCCUACCAAGACAAUGAUGCAUAGCCGAGUUGAGAGACUGAUCGGCCACAUUGGGACUGAGACACGGCCCAAACUCCUACGGGAGGCUGCAGUAGGGAAUCUUCCACAAUGGGCGAAAGCCUGAUGGAGCAACGCCGCGUGUGUGAUGAAGGCUUUCGGGUCGUAAAGCACUGUUGUAUGGGAAGAACAGCUAGAAUAGGGAAUGAUUUUAGUUUGACGGUACCAUACCAGAAAGGGACGGCUAAAUACGUGCCAGCAGCCGCGGUAAUACGUAUGUCCCGAGCGUUAUCCGGAUUUAUUGGGCGUAAAGCGAGCGCAGACGGUUGAUUAAGUCUGAUGUGAAAGCCCGGAGCUCAACUCCGGAAUGGCAUUGGAAACUGGUUAACUUGAGUGCAGUAGAGGUAAGUGGAACUCCAUGUGUAGCGGUGGAAUGCGUAGAUAUAUGGAAGAACACCAGUGGCGAAGGCGGCUUACUGGACUGUAACUGACGUGAGNUCGAA
rnacentral:rRNA from 1 species